rnacentral:rRNA from 1 species
UACGGAGGGUGCAAACGUUGCUCGGAAUCAUUGGGCGUAAAGCGCACGUAGGCGGCCUGUUAAGUCGGAUGUGAAAGCCCCGGGCUCAACCCGGGAAGUGCAUUCGAAACUGGCGGGCUUGAAUAUGGAAGAGGGUCGCGGAAUUCCCGGUGUAGAGGUGGAAUUCGUAGAUAUCGGGAGGAACACCAGUGGCGAAGGCGGCGACCUGGGCCAAUAUUGACGCUGAGGCGCGAAAGCGUGGGGAGCAAACAGG